rnacentral:rRNA from 1 species
UGAAAUAUGACUUUAGUCCCUAUUUCGUUGGUCUAGGAACUUAAGUAAUGAUGAAUAGAAACGGUUGGGGGCAUUUGUAUUUGGUCGCUAGAGGUGAAAUUCUUGGAUUGACCGAAGACAAACUACUGCGAAGGCAUUUGACCCAGGACGUUUUCAUUGAUCAAGGUCUAAAGUUAAGGGAUCGAAGACGAUUAGAUACCGUCGUAGUCUUAACCACAAACUAUGCCGACUAGAGAUUGGAC